UACGUAGGGGGCUAGCGUUGUCCGGAUUUAUUGGGCGUAAAGAGCGUGUAGGCGGCCAGAUAGGUCUGCUGUGAAAACUCGAGGCUCAACCUCGAGAUGUCGGCGGAAACCAUUUGGCUAGAGUCCGGAAGAGGAAAGUGGAAUUCCUGGUGUAGCGGUGAAAUGCGCAGAUAUCAGGAGGAACACCGAUGGCGAAGGCAGGUCUCUGGGCCACUACUGACGCUGAGAAGCGAAAGCGUGGGGAGCGAACAGG
rnacentral:rRNA from 1 species